AUUGAACGCUGGCGGCAUGCCUUACACAUGCAAGUCGAACGGUAGAGGUAGCAAUACCUUGAGAGUGGCGAACGGGUGAGUAAUACAUCGGAACAUGCCCAACUGUGGGGGAUAACGUAGCGAAAGUUACGCUAAUACCGCAUACGAUCUACGGAUGAAAGCGGGGGACCGUAAGGCCUCGCGCAGUUGGAGUGGCUGAUGCCAGAUUAGCUAGUUGGUGGGGUAAAAGCCUACCAAGGCAACGAUCUGUAGCUGGUCUGAGAGGACGACCAGCCACACUGGGACUGAGACACGGCCCAGACUCCUACGGGAGGCAGCAGCGGGGAAUUUUGGACAAUGGACGAAAGUCUGAUCCAGCAAUGCCGCGUGCAGGACGAAGGCCUUCGGGUUGUAAACUGCUUUUGUACGGAGCGAAAAAGUCUUCUUUAAUACAGAGGGCUCAUGACGGUACCGUAAGAAUAAGCACCGGCUAACUACGUGCCAGCAGCCGCGGUAA
rnacentral:rRNA from 1 species